rnacentral:lncRNA from 1 species
GUUCCCCAGUCCUCACUCUGGUUGUGCGCAUUUGAUUCCCCAUCACUGGAGCUGCUGCAGUGACAUCAGCCACUGAAUCUAUGAGGAUCCGUGAACUCUGACAAGCAGAGGCUGAACAUAUGACUCAGGCUAAGUUUAAAAACUUUAUUUUCCAUACAAAACAAUAAUAAAUCCAAGCAGAUAAUGAACUAAGCGUCUUCUCAUUUUCCACCUUUUCUCAAUAUAGUCUAUCCAAAGUUCAAUGUUACACCACUCCGUAUCAGCCAAAGCUAUGAAGUUUCCAUCUUGUAUCCGUGUUUUUCUAAUUCAGCUCUUAACUGAUUGGAGAAAUCAUCUUCUACGUUGUCAUCAUCCCAAUUGUCUUCCCAGACAUGUGCAUCUUCAUCUUCGUCUAAACCAGUCCAAUCUUCAGCCGGAAACUCCUCGAACUCGUCGUCUUCCUCCAGGAGCCCCAGGUCCACCGGCUGCUUUUUCUCCGACAUGCUCGGCCCCGCUGCCCGCCGACACUGACGGGAUGGCGGCACAGCGCGGCCCCCACUGCGCCUGCGCCG